GACUGAUGAGAUCAAACGUACGCUGCGUGUAUAUUCUGCCUGAUGUUUAUGUGUGUGUGUGUGUGUGUGUGUGUGUGUGUGUGUGACCAGGACUCCACUAUGGAAAGGAGAGCAUCCGGAGCAGUGGAGGCGCUGACCUUCACAACUUCAUCUCCUCGGGCUUCGUGACAUUAGGUCGGGGCCAUCAGAAAGGUCCCCAUCAGCACAACUAUAACCAUGUGGCUCUAGGUAGCCCCACACGCACACCUAAGAAUGGUAAGACAAACCAGUGGGAGGAGGGAAUGUUCGAACCAAUCCACAGCUCAGUUCAGUGUUUGAGAGGAAGCCUGGACCCUGGGCGGUAACUU
rnacentral:lncRNA from 1 species